GACGAACGCUGGCGGCGUGCUUAACACAUGCAAGUCGAACGGAAAGGCCCUGCUUUUGUGGGGUGCUCGAGUGGCGAACGGGUGAGUAACACGUGAGUAACCUGCCCUUGACUUUGGGAUAACUUCAGGAAACUGGGGCUAAUACCGGAUAGGAGCUCCUGCUGCAUGGUGGGGGUUGGAAAGUUUCGGCGGUUGGGGAUGGACUCGCGGCUUAUCAGCUUGUUGGUGGGGUAGUGGCUUACCAAGGCUUUGACGGGUAGCCGGCCUGAGAGGGUGACCGGCCACAUUGGGACUGAGAUACGGCCCAGACUCCUACGGGAGGCAGCAGUGGGGAAUAUUGCACAAUGGGCGGAAGCCUGAUGCAGCAACGCAGGGUGCGGGAUGACGGCCUUCGGGUUGUAAACCGCUUUCGCCUGUGACGAAGCGUGAGUGACGGUAAUGGGUAAAGAAGCACCGGCUAACUACGUG
rnacentral:rRNA from 1 species